GGUUAAGCGACUAAGCGUACACGGUGGAUGCCCUGGCAGUCAGAGGCGAUGAAGGACGUGCUAAUCUGCGAUAAGCGUCGGUAAGGUGAUAUGAACCGUUAUAACCGGCGAUUUCCGAAUGGGGAAACCCAGUGUGUUUCGACACACUAUCAUUAACUGAAUCCAUAGGUUAAUGAGGCGAACCGGGGGAACUGAAACAUCUAAGUACCCCGAGGAAAAGAAAUCAACCGAGAUUCCCCCAGUAGCGGCGAGCGAACGGGGAGCAGCCCAGAGCCUGAAUCAGUGUGUGUGUUAGUGGAAGCGUCUGGAAAGGCGCGCGAUACAGGGUGACAGCCCCGUACACAAAAAUGCACAUGCUGUGAGCUCGAUGAGUAGGGCGGGACACGUGGUAUCCUGUCUGAAUAUGGGGGGACCAUCCUCCAAGGCUAAAUACUCCUGACUGACCGAUAGUGAACCAGUACCGUGAGGGAAAGGCGAAAAGAACCCCGGCGAGGGGAGUGAAAAAGAACCUGAAACCGUGUACGUACAAGCAGUGGGAGCACGCUUAGGCGUGUGACUGCGUACCUUUUGUAUAAUGGGUCAGCGACUUAUAUUCUGUAGCAAGGUUAACCGAAUAGGGGAGCCGAAGGGAAACCGAGUCUUAACUGGGCGUUAAGUUGCAGGGUAUAGACCCGAAACCCGGUGAUCUAGCCAUGGGCAGGUUGAAGGUUGGGUAACACUAACUGGAGGACCGAACCGACUAAUGUUGAAAAAUUAGCGGAUGACUUGUGGCUGGGGGUGAAAGGCCAAUCAAACCGGGAGAUAGCUGGUUCUCCCCGAAAGCUAUUUAGGUAGCGCCUCGUGAAUUCAUCUCCGGGGGUAGAGCACUGUUUCGGCAAGGGGGUCAUCCCGACUUACCAACCCGAUGCAAACUGCGAAUACCGGAGAAUGUUAUCACGGGAGACACACGGCGGGUGCUAACGUCCGUCGUGAAGAGGGAAACAACCCAGACCGCCAGCUAAGGUCCCAAAGUCAUGGUUAAGUGGGAAACGAUGUGGGAAGGCCCAGACAGCCAGGAUGUUGGCUUAGAAGCAGCCAUCAUUUAAAGAAAGCGUAAUAGCUCACUGGUCGAGUCGGCCUGCGCGGAAGAUGUAACGGGGCUAAACCAUGCACCGAAGCUGCGGCAGCGACGCUUAUGCGUUGUUGGGUAGGGGAGCGUUCUGUAAGCCUGUGAAGGUGUACUGUGAGGUAUGCUGGAGGUAUCAGAAGUGCGAAUGCUGACAUAAGUAACGAUAAAGCGGGUGAAAAGCCCGCUCGCCGGAAGACCAAGGGUUCCUGUCCAACGUUAAUCGGGGCAGGGUGAGUCGACCCCUAAGGCGAGGCCGAAAGGCGUAGUCGAUGGGAAACAGGUUAAUAUUCCUGUACUUGGUGUUACUGCGAAGGGGGGACGGAGAAGGCUAUGUUGGCCGGGCGACGGUUGUCCCGGUUUAAGCGUGUAGGCUGGUUUUCCAGGCAAAUCCGGAAAAUCAAGGCUGAGGCGUGAUGACGAGGCACUACGGUGCUGAAGCAACAAAUGCCCUGCUUCCAGGAAAAGCCUCUAAGCAUCAGGUAACAUCAAAUCGUACCCCAAACCGACACAGGUGGUCAGGUAGAGAAUACCAAGGCGCUUGAGAGAACUCGGGUGAAGGAACUAGGCAAAAUGGUGCCGUAACUUCGGGAGAAGGCACGCUGAUAUGUAGGUGAAGCGACUUGCUCGUGGAGCUGAAAUCAGUCGAAGAUACCAGCUGGCUGCAACUGUUUAUUAAAAACACAGCACUGUGCAAACACGAAAGUGGACGUAUACGGUGUGACGCCUGCCCGGUGCCGGAAGGUUAAUUGAUGGGGUCAGCGCAAGCGAAGCUCUUGAUCGAAGCCCCGGUAAACGGCGGCCGUAACUAUAACGGUCCUAAGGUAGCGAAAUUCCUUGUCGGGUAAGUUCCGACCUGCACGAAUGGCGUAAUGAUGGCCAGGCUGUCUCCACCCGAGACUCAGUGAAAUUGAACUCGCUGUGAAGAUGCAGUGUACCCGCGGCAAGACGGAAAGACCCCGUGAACCUUUACUAUAGCUUGACACUGAACAUUGAGCCUUGAUGUGUAGGAUAGGUGGGAGGCUUUGAAGUGUGGACGCCAGUCUGCAUGGAGCCGACCUUGAAAUACCACCCUUUAAUGUUUGAUGUUCUAACGUUGACCCGUAAUCCGGGUUGCGGACAGUGUCUGGUGGGUAGUUUGACUGGGGCGGUCUCCUCCUAAAGAGUAACGGAGGAGCACGAAGGUUGGCUAAUCCUGGUCGGACAUCAGGAGGUUAGUGCAAUGGCAUAAGCCAGCUUGACUGCGAGCGUGACGGCGCGAGCAGGUGCGAAAGCAGGUCAUAGUGAUCCGGUGGUUCUGAAUGGAAGGGCCAUCGCUCAACGGAUAAAAGGUACUCCGGGGAUAACAGGCUGAUACCGCCCAAGAGUUCAUAUCGACGGCGGUGUUUGGCACCUCGAUGUCGGCUCAUCACAUCCUGGGGCUGAAGUAGGUCCCAAGGGUAUGGCUGUUCGCCAUUUAAAGUGGUACGCGAGCUGGGUUUAGAACGUCGUGAGACAGUUCGGUCCCUAUCUGCCGUGGGCGCUGGAGAACUGAGGGGGGCUGCUCCUAGUACGAGAGGACCGGAGUGGACGCAUCACUGGUGUUCGGGUUGUCAUGCCAAUGGCACUGCCCGGUAGCUAAAUGCGGAAGAGAUAAGUGCUGAAAGCAUCUAAGCACGAAACUUGCCCCGAGAUGAGUUCUCCCUGACCCUUUAAGGGUCCUGAAGGAACGUUGAAGACGACGACGUUGAUAGGCCGGGUGUGUAAGCGCAGCGAUGCGUUGAGCUAACCGGUACUAAUGAACCGUGAGGCUUAACCUUACAACGCCGAAGAUGUUUUG
rnacentral:rRNA from 1 species